rnacentral:rRNA from 1 species
AGUGAACGCUGGCUGUAGGCCUAACACAUGCAAGUCGAACGGCAGCACAGUAAGAGCUUGCUCUUACGGGUGGCGAGUGGCGGACGGGUGAGGAAUACAUCGGAAUCUACUUUUUCGUGGGGGAUAACGUAGGGAAACUUACGCUAAUACCGCAUACGACCUACGGGUGAAAGCGGGGGAUCUUCGGACCUUGCGCGAUUGAAUGAGCCGAUGUCGGAUUAGCUAGUUGGCGGGGUAAAGGCCCACCAAGGCGACGAUCCGUAGCUGGUCUGAGAGGAUGAUCAGCCACACUGGAACUGAGACACGGUCCAGACUCCUACGGGAGGCAGCAGUGGGGAAUAUUGGACAAUGGGCGCAAGCCUGAUCCAGCCAUACCGCGUGGGUGAAGAAGGCCUUCGGGUUGUAAAGCCCUUUUGUUGGGAAAGAAAAGCAGCAGGUUAAUACCCCGCUGUUCUGACGGUACCCAAAGAAUAAGCACCGGCUAACUUCGUG